rnacentral:rRNA from 1 species
UAGGGAAUCUUCCGCAAUGGGCGAAAGCCUGACGGAGCAACGCCGCGUGAGUGAUGAAGGUCUUCGGAUCGUAAAACUCUGUUAUUAGGGAAGAACAAAUGUGUAAGUAACUAUGCACGUCUUGACGGUACCUAAUCAGAAAGCCACGGCUAACUACGUGCCAGCAGCCGCGGUAAUACGUAGGUGGCAAGCGUUAUCCGGAAUUAUUGGGCGUAAAGCGCGCGUAGGCGGUUUUUUAAGUCUGAUGUGAAAGCCCACGGCUCAACCGUGGAGGGUCAUUGGAAACUGGAAAGCUUGAGUGCAGAAGAGGAAAGUGGAAUUCCAUGUGUAGCGGUGAAAUGCGCAGAGAUAUGGAGGAACACCAGGGGCGAAGGCGACUUUCUGGUCUGUAACUGACGCUGAUGUGCGAAAGCGUGGGGAUCAAACAGG